CUAUCUGUGGUGGGCGCAAGUAAAUUGAGAGAACAUGACCUUAGUACGAGAGGACCGGGUCGUACGUACCGCUGGUGUAUCAGUUGUGCCGCCAGGUGCAAUGCUGAGUAGCUAAGUACGGACAGGAUAAACGCUGAAAGCAUCUAAGCGUGAAACCUUUCUCAAGAUGAGUUUACUUUUAAAGGCCGUCAAAGACUAUGACGUUGAUAGGCUACAGGUGUAAAACUGGUAACAGUAAAGCCGAGUAGUACUAAUUGCCUGUACGCUUUAAUUUU
rnacentral:rRNA from 1 species